rnacentral:ncRNA from 2 species
AAUAACUUCAUACGAAUUCCUUAUAUAUCUAUGGUGAUAUGGACCAUAAGUCUCUACCUGGCAGCCGUAAAGUGCCGGACUAUAAGGAAAGUCCAUGCUAUA